UCUGUACUCCCUCCGUUCCAAAAUACUUGACUUCCAUUUGUCCAAAAAUGGAUGUACCUAUAUACUAAAACAUGUCUAGAUACAUAUAUAUUUUGAUAAAUAGAAGGCAUGUAUUGUGCAACGGAGGGAGUAGAAU
rnacentral:pre_miRNA from 1 species